GGCAUGUGCGCGCCCCCUCAUUUCUAAUCCCUCACACACACACCUGUGCACCUAUGGCGAGCGCCUCCCGUUUGGAGACGUCCGAUCGUAUAAGGUCGGGCUGAGGCGUUCCCUCUUUUUGCAUUUACAACACCGAUAGAAACCGCAUGUCUUUUUGAGCUUUAUAUGUCGUACAACUUUCAACAACGGAUCUCUUGGCUUUUGCAUCGAUGAAGAACGCCGCGAAAGUGCGAAACGUAAUGUGAAUUGCAGAAUUCAGUGAAUCAUCGAAUCUUUGAACGCAUCUUGCGCUCCUUGGUAUUCCCAGGAGCAUGCCUGUUUGAGUGUCGUGAACCCCCCUCAAUUUCCUUUUUCCCUCUCAGGGGGGAAGGGGGAGGUUGGAUUUGGAUGUUGCGGGUUGUGCCCGCUCGUCUUUAAAUGCAUCAGCUGGCCCCCCCCUUAGAGUCGGUCCGAUGACGGUGUGAUAACAAACGCUUCGUUGACUGUGGCGCCGUUUGGGUCGACUUUGAAUCUGGGUCGCUUAUAGUCAGUCCCACUGGGACACGAUAAUGUCAUCUGACCUCAAAUCAGGUAGGAUUACCCGCUGAACUUAAGCAUAUCAAUAAGCGGAGGAAAAGAAACUAACGAGGAUUCCCCUAGUAACGGCGAGUGAAGCGGGAAGAGCUCAAA
rnacentral:rRNA from 1 species